rnacentral:tRNA from 1 species
ACCUGGGUGGCUCAGUCGGUUAAGCCCCAGACUUCAGCUCAGGUCAUGAUCUCACGGUUUGUGGGUUCAAGCCCCACAUCAGGCU